UCGAGCGGACGAAUCGAAAGCUUGCUUUUGAUUCGUUAGCGGCGGACGGGUGAGUAACACGUGGGCAACCUGCCCUGUAGACGGGGAUAACACCGAGAAAUCGGUGCUAAUACCGGAUAACACGAAAUGUCGCAUGACGUUUCGUUGAAAGACGGCGCAAGCUGUCGCUACAGGAUGGGCCCGCGGCGCAUUAGCUAGUUGGUGAGGUAACGGCUCACCAAGGCGACGAUGCGUAGCCGACCUGAGAGGGUGAUCGGCCACACUGGGACUGAGACACGGCCCAGACUCCUACGGGAGGCAGCAGUAGGGAAUCUUCCGCAAUGGACGAAAGUCUGACGGAGCAACGCCGCGUGAGCGAAGAAGGCCUUCGGGUCGUAAAGCUCUGUUGUUAGGGAAGAACAAGUAACGCAGUAACUGGCGUUACCGUGACGGUACCUAACGAGAAAGCCACGGCUAACUACGUGCCAGCAGCCGCGGUAAUACGUAGGUGGCAAGCGUUGUCCGGAAUUAUUGGGCGUAAAGCGCGCGCAGGCGGUUCCUUAAGUCUGAUGUGAAAGCCCACGGCUCAACCGUGGAGGGUCAUUGGAAACUGGGGGACUUGAGUGCAGAAGAGGAGAGCGGAAUUCCACGUGUAGCGGUGAAAUGCGUAGAGAUGUGGAGGAACACCAGUGGCGAAGGCGGCUCUCUGGUCUGUAACUGACGCUGAGGCGCGAAGGCGUGGGGAGCAAACGGGAUUAGAUACCCCGGUAGUCCACGCAGUAAACGAUGUCUAUUAGAAGUUUGUGGCUAUAUGCCGUGGGUUUCAAAGCUAACGCAUUAAAUAGACCGCCUGGGGAGUACGGCCGCAAGGUUAAAACUCAAAUGAAUUGACGGGGGCCCGCACAAGCGGUGGAGCAUGUGGUUUAAUUCGAUGCAACGCGAA
rnacentral:rRNA from 1 species